CCCUUAGAUGUUCUGGGCUGCACGCGCGCUACACUGAUGCGCUCAACGAGUUUUAACCUUGCCUGGAAAGGUUGGGUAAUCUUUUUAAAACGCAUCGUGAUGGGGAUAGAUUAUUGCAAUUAUUAAUCUUCAACGAGGAAUUCCUAGUAAGCGCGAGUCAUCAGCUUGCAUUGAUUACGUCCCUGCCCUUUGUACACACCGCCCGUCGCUCCUACCGAUUGAAUGAUCCGAUGAAUAUCAUGGAUUGAGGAUGCAAGUAGGUUCACCUAUCUUCAUCUUCGAGAAGUGAAGUAAAUCUUAUCAUUUAGAGGAAGGAGAAGUCGUAACA
rnacentral:rRNA from 1 species